GUCUUGGCGGGUGUGUGUGUGGGGGGACGAGGGUCCCCAGUUGUCGCUUUGUUCACCUGGGGGUGUCUGAGAGGCAGCGCCCCCUCCCGGCUACAGCUCCAGGGUGGAGCGCGUCCUGCUGCACGGCUCUGGGGCGUCCCUUGGAGGUGGGCGGCGGUGUCAGCCGGCUGGGAUCACGUUGGAACCAGUGACGUGCGGUAAAAUAAUGGCCCCGUAAAGGGGAAGCGAUGCCAUCAGGGAAAGUCGGAGGGCUCAUGAAUAUUCUGGGCACUUGUACCCACAGCCAGCGCCAGGCUCGGCUCCUGAUUCAUCAAUAUUACAAAUUGGCGCGGUGGUGAGCCGCCUGUCAGCGACUUUCAUUUUUGCUUCGAGCCCCAGGAAUUACAAUGGAAGUAUUUCUCAGGGACGGCCUGCAGGAACACAGGCGGGCUCGUGCAGCCAGAGCCCGGGCGGGGCCUUGGUGGCUCCGAGGUCAGGAGGAAGCCAUUCCUGAGCAAGCCCCAGCCCCCGGGGAGAACCAGGAGAGAGCCCACCAGCGCCAGCAAUGUCCUUGAAGGCCAGCACAGCGACUCUGCAGAGGAAAGACAAUGGGCCCAUUCCACAGGCGAGGAAAACUGAGGCUCAGAGGAGGGCCGUGGUUCCCCACCGUGGAGCCCCGCUGGAGCUGCAGGGGAUGGACUGCAGACCGACCGCAGGGUUGCACGGAGUGACCAGCUUCCCCAUUCCCACCCUCGGCUCAGGGUGGACGCUUUCCCUGUCCUUUGCAGAAGCGCCCCCCGCCGGCUCCAGAACCUCACGCUGUGACCGUGACACUCACCAAAGGAGGGCGAACUCCAUCGCCGCCCGAGCCGGCAUCCAGUUCAGACGCGGACGCUCCAGGGACAGGGUGCAGCGGGGAGUCUCUCGCUCCCUGUCCUGCUGCUCUGUCUGUGCGUCCAUCUGGCGUUCUGGCCCCCGGGUCUGGUCAGCCCCACGCAGAAGGUCAAACUCGCUGGAGGGUGAAGCGGAAGGAGAGCGGGGUGUGUGGGGGGGGCGACGAUUUCAGGGACGUGGAGUUUGACCGUGUCCCUCUGGGUCUCCUCCCACCCGUGUCACUUCUCAAGCCCCUGCCCAUGAGCGCAAGAGGAGAAACAGUGUCACCAGACCCGUCCAUUUGCUCGCCACUCAAAAGCCGGGAGAGGAGAGCUGUGGGGGGGAGCUGGGUUGUUCAAGGGUCAGCACCCCGAUAAGACAGUGGGGAGCAAACAACAGCAACCCAAGAGCAUCCUGGGGACAUGGGGGACAUGGAAGGGCUUUCAUAGGUAGGGAACAGAGGUGCAGUGGGACAGUGGGUGUGAAAUCUGGGAGCCUCUGCAGGGCCUCGGUCAUCUGGGGUGAGCGUCUUUUCUUCAUGGGUGAGAACAUGGCCGUCAACCUUGACCUUGACCCCCUGGGGCAGGCACUGUGAUUCCUUAGACAAACACGUGGCUUUUCUUCCUGUUGAGUCCUUGGGUACAUUCUGCUGUACCCUGAAGACCUACAGAUGUCCGGGUUGUGUCAACCUAAGAGGAGGCUGAUGGAGUGGUGGACGUCCUCGUCAUGAGGGGCCUUUUCCUUGAGGACUUUCCUGGGCAAAGGGAGGGGAAAGGGUUGGAGAGGAGAAUCGUGAAGGAGUGACCACUGCCCAACAGCUGGAAGCCACCCGAGAAUGGCAUGUCUCCAGUGGCGGGCUGAGCAUCCUCAAGAAAGCAGCUUUAAGGUGCCCUCCUGUCACCCCAGUGGCUUGGGAGGCUGAGGCAGGAGGAUUAUGAGUUUGAAGGCCAGCUUCACCAACUUUAGUGAGGCCCUGUCUCAAAAUAAAAAAUAAAAAGGGCUGGGGAUGGGGCUCCGUGAUGAAGUGUCCCCGGGUUUGAUCCCCAGGACCAAGAAAAAGAAAAAAAAAUCAGAUUUUAGAUAAGGAGGAGGAAGAGGAGGAGGAGGAGGAAGAGAAAAAGGCAGAGGACACAAGGAAACCCUGAACGAGCGAGGGUCAGAAAACGGGGGUCAAGUGACAUGUGAGUGACUCUCCCAAACAUGGGCCUAGUGAGGCUCUGAGUCUUCAUCUGCAAAAUGGGGGGGGUCUAUGGCAUUUCUGGGGGGCUCACAGUGAAGAUCGAAGAUGGUUAAGAGUCCUUCUUUACGGCCUGGCAGGAGAGCGCGGUGAAGUGCUCUCUCACACUUUGGAAACGAAUCCCGUGCACUUAUUUAUGCCCUGAGACCCACCUCCUCCGUGGGCAGCGGCCGGGCCAGGCGGCCUUUACCGCCUCAGGAAAAGCAUGACACUGCAUAAAGUAGGGGAGUCACGGCCAAGUCUCACCUUGGAGCUCUGGAAGCCGGCCGAGGGCUGGCAGAGGAGGAGAGGUGUGGGAGAAGGCCCUAGUGGAGCUCUCUGCCUUUGAGCCUCGAAGGCUCUCCCUGGGCUGGGGACAGACGCUGGGGUAUCCUGAGGAAGCACAGAAGCAGCCUCAGCCGAGGACUGAGGAGGGUGUCUGCAAAACCCCCAGCCACAGCCCUGAGCAGGCGCCUCUCGGCACAAGCCAGUGCUGAGACCUGGGCAGUGGCCAGCCAUGGGCAGCAGGCCAAGAUGGCCCCCGGUGGGACUCAGCCCUUGUCGCCCCGAGCUGCCUGAGGGAUGAGUUUUCACGAAGCGGAGGUGACGCGGGACUCACUGUGCAGCUCCUGGGAAGGGGAGCCGCGGUCGAGCCUUCGGAUACAACUGCAGCCCCUUCCUAGUCUGGCCACACCCUCGGGAGAGACCCAGGCCGCCUCCCGCAGGUGGGCGGCCGUGAACUCCUGACCCCUGGAAACCCUGUGGCCACACGUGAGCUCAUUGUCAGUUUCAGUGCCGAGUGCCGGGGCGACUCUUAUGUAGAAACUGACCCCUCUGCCUGCCACUUGGCACAGUGUGGGACAUGUCCCCUCCUCGGAAGGCGGACGCAGCCGGGAACAGGGGAGGGACCCUCGGUGCCCUGGAAUUCUGUUUCUGCCACUUAGUGGAACCAGGCUGUGGUGGGACUCUGUUGAGUCACAGGAAGUGAAGUUCCGUGCUCAGAUCUGAGUUUCCAGACGCCGCGUCUGUGGCCACGGCUUCCCAGGAGGAUCCGUGGAUAUUUGGGGGCCGGGGGAGGCCAGCGGAGCAGGACAACAGUCUCCAGAGUUCCAAAACAGAGGGGCACGUCUCCCCAAAUCCCGAAAAUUCUCCAGUUCCAGAAAACUGGGCUCUUCUCCGGGAAGCCUCUGGCUCCCACUCUGUCCCCUCCUGUGAGCGUCACCCGCUCAGCUUAGUGCCCAGACCCGCCCAUUGGAAAACCUACCAUUAAAGAGACCAUUAAAAAGAGAGGGGAAGAGCAAUCGUGCCAAGCUGCAAGGCCCAGGAGGCCAGGGGACAGCGCGUGAUGGAAAUCAGCCCUGGGACCAGAGGGCAGGUGGCCCAGCGGCCGAGGCAGACACAGAAUCCACUGGAGAAGUCCACAUAUUUGAAAAUCCUCUUCCUUUGAUGAAUUGAGUUAUCAAGAGUUUCUCUCUGUCCCCACCCCAAAGGGUCCAGAACAGGGGCUCAGACGGAGUCAGGUUCUGCCUCUUUCCAACUGCUGUAGAUCUCAGGCAAGUCUCUGAACCUCUCUGACCCUCUGUUUCUUCAUUGAGAAAGAAGGAAUAAGGAUAGGUCUAUACAAAUGGACCUGAAUCUCCAUCUUGCUUUGUAUUCGUCCUAACAAAUCAUAGGGAGUGAAGUUAUAUGCCUUACAGUCUUUCCCAUCAUGAAAUGAAGCCUGUUUCCCCAUUGCCUGAUUCCAGGAUGGCCGUGUGACUUCUUUUGACCAGUAAAAUAUGGCAGAAGUGACCUAGGUCAGUCCAGGGCCUCAGUCUCAGAGGCUUCUGUUCUCUCUGACCCCAUGGCCCCCUUCAAGCAGCUCCGACUGGGCUGGUGAAGAUAACACCCAUGUGUAACAGACGUGACCAACCCAGCCACAACUGUCUAAGACACCCAUCCUCCAGACGACCACAGAUUGUCUAAGUGGGCCAGUGAGUGUCUGCCCAGGUGGCCAGGAAAGAGAACAGCCACCUGACCCAUGGCCUUACGGGUAACAGUGGAGGAAGGGGUAUUGUUUGAAGCUGUUAGGCAUCAUUUGAUUUGUUAUGCAGCAAUAGCUAGCAGCUACACUGCCGUCUUAAGGAUUUCUGUGAGGACCAGAAAUUGUAUAGGCAGAUGGCAUAAGCUCAUUGCUGAUGGUGGGCUGGCUCUGCCAGGGACUGUGCUUAGGAUUAGGGGCAUUAGACCAAAGGCUGGGGAGGUCCUGAAGUGCUGGCCCUGAAGUUCAAGGGCAGGGCGUCCCGCUACUCACACACACACCCAGGGUCUGGCUCACGGUUCCUGCUCCAUGCACCUUAGUUGUUGGAUAUUGUUGAUGCUGAGACUCCUGAAAACGCUUCCGGCUUGGAUGUGGGUCUGAAGUUCGCAACCAGAGGCCUCAGAGGCUCCUUAGCCAAGGGCAGAUUAGAAGGCAGCUCUGUGGCGGGUCUGUGAGAAGGAAGGGGGGGGCACAGUCGGUAACCGGGGGCCCCUCUGCCCUCACUGCUGUGGUCCCUGCACCUGCAGCCCCAGCAUCCCCUGGGCCCUAGUUAGGAAUGCAGAAUCUCAGGUCCUCCUCGGCCGGCUGAAUCAGUAAGUGUGCUUUAACAAGGCCCCCAGGGCAUUUGGGGCCUGCUAGAGUUUACCGGAACACUCUUCUUAAGCUCUGUGCACUGAGGGACUGAUAGAUAUUUUAAAAAAUUUCUAAUCCAUUGCAGAAUGACACUUUUAUAAAAUGCAGUUAAACACACACACACACACACACAAUUUACGAAACAAAAUAAAUGAAAAAUAAAACACCCGCAAAAAUCCAA